rnacentral:rRNA from 1 species
AUUGAACGCUGGCGGCAUGCCUUACACAUGCAAGUCGAACGGUAACAGGUUAAGCUGACGAGUGGCGAACGGGUGAGUAAUGUAUCGGAACGUGCCCAGUCGUGGGGGAUAACUGCUCGAAAGAGCAGCUAAUACCGCAUACGACCUGAGGGUGAAAGCGGGGGAUCGCAAGACCUCGCGCGAUUGGAGCGGCCGACAUCAGAUUAGGUAGUUGGUGGGGUAAAGGCCUACCAAGCCUACGAUCUGUAGCUGGUCUGAGAGGACGACCAGCCACACUGGGACUGAGACACGGCCCAGACUCCUACGGGAGGCAGCAGUGGGGAAUUUUGGACAAUGGACGCAAGUCUGAUCCAGCCAUGCCGCGUGCGGGAAGAAGGCCUUCGGGUUGUAAACCUCUUUUGUCAGGGAAGAAAAGGUUCUGGUUAAUACCUGGGACUCAUGACGGUACCUGAAGAAUAAGCACCGGCUAACUACGUGCCAGCCGCCGCAGUAACAC